CGAAGGUAGCAUAAUCAGUAGUCUAUUAAUUGUAGGCUGGUAUGAAUGGUUGGACGAAAUAUUAACUGUUUCAUUUAAAAUUUUUAUAGAAUUUUAUUUUUUAGUUAAAAAGCUAAAAUAUUAUUAAAAGACGAGAAGACCCUAUAAAUCUUAAUAUUUAUUGUAUUUUAAUUAUAAAGAUUAUUUUAGUUAUAAUUUAAAUAAAUAUUUUAUUGGGGUGAUAUUAAAAUUUAAUAAACUUUUAAUUUUAAAAACAUUAAUUUAUGAUUAAUUGAUCCAUUAUUAGUGAUUAAAAAUUUAAGUUACUUUAGGGAUAACAGCGUAAUUUUUUUGGAGAGUUCAUAUCGAUAAAAAAGAUUGCGACCUCGAUGUUGGAUUAA
rnacentral:rRNA from 1 species